GGCCGAGUGGUGUAGUUGGUUAUCACGUUUCGUUAACAAAAGGAUCACUUUGAUCCGAAAAGGUCCUGAGUUCAAGUCUCAGCUUGGUCA
rnacentral:tRNA from 1 species